GGUUUCUUGAAGAAAAAUGAGAAAUCUGACCUGCCCAAUGGCGUAAAGUUAAAUGGCCGCGGUAUUUUGACCGUGCGAAGGUAGCAUAAUCAUUAGUCUUUUAAUUGUAGACUGGAAUGAACGGUUGGACGUAAUAAUGUCUUUUUUAAUCUUAUAUGUUGAAUUUUACUUUUUAGUGAAGAGGCUAAAAUAAAGCCAAAAGACAAGAAGACCCUAUCAAGUUUUAUUAAUUAAUAUAAGAAAAUAUAGGUAAAGUAUGAAUAGGAAAUUAAUUUUGCUGGGGCGGUAAGGUGAAAACUAAUCAUGAUCCAAAAUUUUUGAUUAUUUGUUUAAAUUACUGUAGGGAUAACAGCGUAAUCUUAUUUAAGAGUUCAUAUCGACAAUAAGGGUUGCGACCUCGAUGUUGGAUUAGAAUUCCUUCUUGGAGCAGAAUCUAAGAAUGGGGGUCUGUUCNACCAUUANAAUUCUACA
rnacentral:rRNA from 1 species